rnacentral:rRNA from 1 species
AACGAACGCUGGCGGCAUGCCUAACACAUGCAAGUCGAACGAGACCUUCGGGUUUAGUGGCGCACGGGUGCGUAACGCGUGGGAAGCUGCCCUUAGGUUCGGAAUCCCUCCCCGAAAGGUGUCUUAAUACCGGAUAAUGUCUUCGGACCAAAGAUGUAUUGCCUUUGGAUGGGCCCGCGUUGGUUUCGCGAGUUGGUAGGGUAGAAGCCUACCAAGGCGAGGAUGCAUGGCUGGUCUGGGAGGAUGAUCAGCCAGACUGGGGAUGAGACACGGCCCAGACUCCUACGGGAGGGAGCAGUGGGGAAUAUUGGACGAUGGGCGAAAGCCUAAUCCAGCAAUGCCGGGUGAGUGAGGAAGGCCUUAGGGAUGUAAAGCUCUUUUAGCCGAGAUGAUAAUGACGGUACCGGGUAAAUAAGCACCGGCUAACUACGUG